AUGGAGAGGGGGGGACCCCGUGCAACCCCUCCGGGGCGCCCCCCUACCCCUCGAGCACCCCCAAAAAGCCUCUGGGAGCACUCCCCAACUUUGCAGGGAGCGUUUUUCCCCCUCGUCCUCCCAGGGGAAGGGGAGGCGGGGGCAGUUUGGGGGGGUCCCGCUACUCACCGAGGCGCGGCGGGGCUGCGCGGCUGCAUGCGGGCGCUGCGCGGGGGCUCCGCGGGCGCGGCGGCGCGGCGGGGCUGCGGAGCAGGUUGGUCGCCGGCCGCUCUCGCGAUAUUUGUCCUCCCGAGCCGCGGGGGGGUGCUGGUGAACAUCUGUUUAAACCCACACUGGAUAGCUGCCAGAUUAGUGGAAAGGAUACGGUAUAAAGAAGACUUUUGUUUCCUCCGAGCAAGAGAAAAAAUAAGUUACAAGUUGGUGCAGAUUGCCGAGAAGAAGCAACUUUUUCUCUCCAGAAGCAGAUGUCCUGUAGUGUUUGAAAAUGAAAUGUUUUUGUGUCUUGCAGGCAAAGGUUCUGCGUUUCAACAAUAUUGAUUGUCAGUUAGUACAGACUGUCAGCCUGCCGUGGUUAACCUACCAGUUGUUUGAGAGACAAUCAUGAGCAAUUAAGAAUCACAUUUCACAGAUUCAAAUGCAUCCAUAUUGCCACUUUAUUCAAAAUCCCUUUUUUCAUGUUGGAAAGUACAUUGGUGAGAGAGGAGAAGUUUUCUUUUUUUUUCCCCUGCCAACCAUAUUUUCAUUGCUGGCCAAAUUAAGAGGGAUAUAUAUUGCUCAUAAACUUGCUGCAGUUUCUUGAUUAAAAUCUUACAUGCAGCACUCCUUUCAACAUCAAUCUAUAAUAAUAAGGAGUGAGCACAUUGCAUUUCAUUUCUUUGUAUUGUGCCUGAGAUGCAAAGCACCAGGGAAACAUCAUGGAAAGAUUCAGCUGCCGAACAAGCAGUAGCACAAUGAGAAAAAGACCGUUCUUUCCAAGGACAACACUUUGUGAUUUGAAACGGGGAAAAGAAUAGGAAAAUUAGAACCAAGAAGAGGCGAGCGCUCAGCAGCUGAGGUUACAACGGUGCUAGCUGUGCAGUGGUUUUGCAGCUGAUACCAGCGAGGCUGCAAAGCGCUGAGAUCAACCUGUUGCACCAAGAAAAGCAGCCCGCAUGUGACAAAGCACAGAGUGCUGCACCACUCCAAGGCCAGCAGCACCUGGAAAGCUUGUGGCUCUUGUCACCUCUCUGCCAAGCACUUUUCAAGGCUUUGCUGGCUGGUGGCCUGUUGGAGGGAUGUAGAGGGGGCACUGGGUCUGGGUAAUGUCUCAGCAGAGGGUUGUGUUGCUGCACCUGUGCCAGGCACUGUGCAUAUUAUGUUGUCACAAGCUACAUGCAUGCAGUUACCUUGGCUAGUGGCUUUGGUCCAAACACCUGGGAACCAUCUCAACCUCAUCAGCCAACAUGAUGUAGAAGGACUUCAAGCAAGGAUCAAUCCUACCUCCUUUUCCAGAAAUCUUCCAAACCAAAACAUUCUUCAAAAGCAACCAAAAUCCAUCAGUUCUUCUAAAAAGCACACCACUCACACCAUCAGAAGAGAUUUCUGACAUCAAAUGACUCCCUCUAUGGGUUUCUCAGCACUCUGAACCUCAGAAGCUCUUCCCAUGCCCCUGCUGCCCACCUCCUAUGAAAUUUAUGCAUGCACUGGGUCUGUACCGCUCCUGGAAUGGGACCUGAAGUAGCAUAAGCAGGUUUUGCCUUGCAGAACACAUUGAGUUCUGCCUCAUUCACAGGGAAAGCUAGCAAACAUCAAGCCCUGAGCAAAACAAUAUACAUCAGUCAGAGACUGUUGUAUUUCUACAAGAGCAACUCCUGGAAAACGUCAGCACACACUUCACAAUAAUUAAGGGGCUCAGGAAGGAUCAUCGUCUGUGAACCUGUCCAUGGAAAUGGUUUAAUUUCCACCUCGUGUUCCCCUGCAUCCCAUCAUCAUUAAAUAAAUAAAUAAAUAAAUAAAUAAAAUAAAAAGCAGCACUAAAGGAAUAACAAAGUGAAAUCUCCAUGAUUUAGAAUCUCAGGCGAGUAUUUCAGAAAUUAUUAUUGACAAUUUUGGGCAGCAAUACCAUCAAAUGAAAGGUGAUGAAAAUGGGAAAUCACAAGAUAAAAAGGAAAUUAUGUAGCUGAAUAGUAUCACAAAAUCGUCUCCCACACACAAAUGCACACUGGUUAUGAUACCAAGGUCGGUGUGAGUAUAAAAGUGAAGAGUUUCAUAUUUAAUAAGACUUUGUCAAUUCAAAACUUAGAUUACAGGGAUUUCUGCGCAGUACCUCUCUCUGACCAUCUUUACCUCUGCUCUUUACAAAACACAAGUUUGUGGUUUUACAAUCAUAUUUUCCUAUUUUUAAAACUUAUUUUCUCUGCUCCUUGCUUUGUAAGAAAGACAGUGAAACUGCAAGAGAAACUGUCUUGACAGAGGAAACAGAAAUGGGUUUAUGCACAACACGCAAACAACUGAACAAAGUAAACACUGACAAAAAUAGAAAGCGAGGUUUAUUUUCUCUCUGAUCUUUCAUUUUUGGUGAUAGUUGUGAUUAAGGAGAACUUCCAACACUUCAGACAAAAGGCAGAUUUUUAAGGAACUGAUAAAAUAGAGUGUUCAGGCAUUAGCAUGCAAUGAAACCAUAUCUUAUUUUUUUCUGACAGCAGGAUACAAUGAUUUCUUGUGUUGAGGAUUCUACCCUGAAAAAGCACGAACUCUGGAUGUGUCUGUUUAAAUGAACUGCAAAUCUUUGCAUCACACUCUAUAAGUAAAUGCCUUAUAUCUGUGAAACUGAUUCUUCUAGGAUUAGACAUUCAAGAAAGUUAAGCAUGCUUUUUGCCCCCUCUCCUACAUUUGCCUUUGACUUGAAUAAGAAAUCUAUCAAGGGAUUUCAGCUGGAGAAAAUGUCAAAUACCCUGAAAACAUUGCUAUAAUGUAUGAUCCCCAAAAUUUUGGUCCUGCUAUCAGAGAUAGGUUCCAAUUUAGGCUCCCUUUGACAAGAUGACUUUGUCUUAUGCUGAUCUCGAUCCAACUGUCGACACCAAUAUUAAGUAAACAUGCAACGGUAUAAUUACAUUUUACACCGAUCUAUAAAAUAUUCAUGUAAUAAUAAUGAAUACAUACAUGCAAUCAUACAAUAUCAUCAUCAUAAACUGUG
rnacentral:lncRNA from 1 species